rnacentral:sRNA from 1 species
UAGGAAAUCGCUAGCCAGUGAGUGCCAC